ensembl:lncRNA
UGUGUAUAUAUACAACUAAAGAAAAGUAUUUGAGACAUAGCAAAUUCUUAGGUAUGUCUAACACCCUUUCUUUGCUCUUUGUGAUAGUAUGGAUGAAUAAUAAAAAUGGAAGCUUUUACCUCUUCAGCUGCUGUUUAUCCCUGCUAUGGCACCAGUUCUCUUGGUGCUUCUGAAACCUCUUCAUAAUGGAAGAGGUAGAGGAACUAGGAAGAGAGAACCGAAGUCUCUGCAGAAUGAAAAAAAAGUCAGCAUAAAAAUGGUAGCCUGGUAAAGAGCUGUGUUACCUACACAUGCCUCGAUGUCACUUCAGAGUCAUGUGUGACCCUGCUCUUUGAUCAGACCAUGAAGGGACUGGUUACGUACCCUGUACUGUCUGUCACUUUGAAAAAACCCAUGGUGUCAAGGAAUGAUGUGUGACUAAAGCAAUUCCUCUAAGGAACUGCUGCUUUCUGAACUGGAUUGGUGUUCAAGUGAUACAUGAAAGAGUGGGUGACUCAAUAUGCUCUGAUGGCUAUGCAGCUAUUGUGCUGAAAUAAUAAAUAUGUCUAGCUCUUGUUACUUUUUUGUGUCUCAUAGACCUUCUUGUACUUGGAGAGCAUGGGAAAUUAACUUCUUUUUUCCAGUUUUAUUGAAGGUAAGGUUAAGUCAGAGCCAGGAACAGAAACAACGUUCCACAGAUUUGCCCACCACCACCUCUUACCACUGCCCAGCUGUUGGUCAAAGUACUGGCACACGCUCCUUUGGUCAUAUUCUACGUAAACUAACAUCUGCUUCCCUGGAGCCUUUGGUGCUUCCAGUUAUCCGUUGCCUCACAUCUUAUAAGAAGAAGGUACCUUGUCAUGCACUGUGUAACUACCUAUCUUGUUUCCAGAUACAGCAGGAAAGGCAAAAGAAAGCUCUAGAUGAUAAAGUAAAUUCAUCUUAUGGGUGACCAAUCACUGACAGUUUCAGAGCCUUUCUGGGAUCUGUUAUUUUUACACUGGCACAUACAAAACUUCUUGAAUAAAUCUUGACUUCAGACAUAAGAGAUGCUCUUCAGCCUGUCUACAAUCAGUGUCCAGCGUGACGGCUGUGGCUGCUGUUUCACCUUGCAUGAACUGACUCAGGAUGUGACAGCAGUGAGUAACGCAGCCUCCCAGCUCUUUCAAACUUAGAUGCUCUAGAACCUGCUGGAUUUGAAGCUAUUCCAAUAUCGGAUGCUUGAAUAUGGUCAUACCACCUGCCGUUGUCAGUGUAAAUGAACCUACAUCAGAACUGGACUUUGGCUGCCAUAUUUGAAAGAGUUUUUGGAAACUAGCCUGAAAAUACAGCUAAUUAUAUUCUUUUUCAUGAAGAAUUAUAAGCACAGAAACUUCUUACUCCAUUUCCUGUAACAGUCAUUUCUCCAGACCACUGAUUUAAGGAGAAAAGCUUAUCCUUCUUCCCUCUGCUCAGCCUCUGAGGAAUUUAUGUUCUUUUUAAGUUAACAGUUGAAGCAUCAAUGCAAAUACGAGAGGUGGGUCAAUGCCCCAUGUGUCUACAUGGCAGGAUAACUUCAGUGAUGGAGAAAUCUUGAAGUCCUGGCUAUUGCUUUCAGAUGACCCCACAGGUCUUCUCAAGGCAUUUUCUGACAGGAUGAAGAGGAGAAACAGCAGUGGUGAUGGGUGUGACUAUAUGAAGACAUGCACAAGGACUGUGACAAGAACAGUCUUCACUGAUGCAACUUAAACUGCUGUAGAUGGACAUAAAAGUCGCACCCAGCAAAAUUUCCGUCCUGUGGAGAAGAACUCAAACUCCUGCAUGCUCUGAGAAUCUCCCAUUUUGCUUUUUCCCUGUCUUUGAAAGAAUAAUAAAUAAGGCUUCUUAAUAAGUCAUGAAUUAAUUACAAAGUGCAUGACAAACGUUAUCGGAAGAAAUUAAGUCCAUGCUCCUUGCUACGGCUGAAUCGAGGUGUCUGUCAUAUCUUGACUUCAUGGCAGAACGCAUUCUGAAAUUAAGAUGAAUAACUUAAUUUCUAGCUUCCAAUGAUUCCUCCUCAUAUACUGCAAAAAGGGCAAAGCAGAAGGGAGGGAGGAAAGAUUAAAAAGAGCAGUGCCAGUUAUUUGGGGAAGUCAUUGUUUGUCUGCAUUUGGGAAGAAAGGGACACCAUUUGGCAGCAUGGCAUGUCACUGUUUUGGUUCCAGCUGAUGAUCAUUGUGUGAAUUGAGCUGUAAGGAGAGCUGCCCAUUGACCAGCAUUGAUUGCUGUUGUCGACAGGUGCUAAUGUUCAUAGGGCAGAUCACAGCUGCUUGCACAGGGUUCCCAUUAUCCUUUGCUGGGUAUUGAUUCUCCCUGUGGGAUGUUUCCUUCCUAGCUGUGUUAAUUUUCAGAGCACAUAUUUGCAUUGGUUUGUGCUGAGAGGGAUAGUCAGAGGUGCCUUGGAUAUGUUUAAUGGCCUUACCCCCUCCCCUUUUACCCCCAAUCCCUUGAGUCUUUAGAGACUAUGUCUGUUGGGAUCCAAGUUUCCUCUAAUUAUGGUGCACAUUAAGGGACAGGCUCUAUGAAGAAUAUCAUUACUAUUCCUGUAAUUGCUUCAGGUGCACUCAAAAAUUAAUCAGAAAGCACACAAUGGGUUUUUUGUUUUGGUGUGGAUUUUAUUUUGAGUCCUUUCUGAGCCUAAAGACUUGCUGCCUAUGUAUAGAGCUUAUACAAGUGUAACAUGGAAGGGAUGGGAAAGUAGAUCAGGAGGAUGCCAGGGCAGGGACUAUUGCUUCCUUUCAGCACUAUUUUGGUGAUGCACACAAUUGAUUAACUGAUGGACCUCAGUUACCUGCAAACUAGAAUGUUAAUGCAAUGCAUUCCUUUUGCAUUGGUAUAAAUAGCUUUCAGUGUUGAGUGGAUUUGUCUAUUGGCAGGUGUCUGAACUGUGCCCAGAGCUGUGGUAGGAUCUUGCAGAGUCUUUUGGUACUGUAUAACAGUUGUUAUAGGAAUGGCAUCUUAUCCAUCUACCUUAAUGAGUCAAAGAAACCUAAAUUAUCUUUUGUUUUGUUUUGUUUUUUCUUUUUUUUU